UUCUGUCCCUCCUCCUGUGUGUGGCGCCGCCGUUGCGCACAGGACACAUCUCAGGCGAGCACUUCCACCCAAUCUCCUCGCCCUCCUCCACAGCUCCGGCCAAGGCGCUCACUUCUCCGGCCCUCCUCCAUAUUCCUCACCUCCACCCCAUCCACUUCCUGUCCUUUGCUUCUCCAAGACUGCAUCAUGGUGCUCGGCGGCUGCGGCAUCAGAGCUGAUGGUGCGCGAGCCGACCAGUUCAAUGGAGGCAGUAGCACGGGGCAGCAGCAGCAGCAGCAUGGAGGGCGGCCACUUGAUCGGCAAGGUCCUAGAACUGCAAAUAGGAGUGGCAGUGGCAAUCACGAUGCAAAUGCAAGUGGUGCCCAAAGAUCUUGCAAAGAAAUUAAAGACAAUAACUUAUAUGAUCCUUGGAACCAUGCAUGGCCGUAUUAUGGUGGUUUUGAUUGUGUGUACUGCAGCCUAAAGUACAAAGGUGGGGGUGCAACCUAAAGAAAAAAGAGACACAAAUUCAAGUGGAAAAGGACGCACCGCCAAGAGAUGGCAAUUUGGAGACCCGUAGAUCUGUACGGCUUGUCAAGAAGAAGACCAAGGAGCAAGGACGUCAACAGCCCAUACCCUGUUGCUUAGAAUCUGCUUAAAUGCCACAUGAAGAACUAAGGAUAUCAAGAAGCUUUUGGAUGUAUGCAAGCUUGGAGCUGCUGUUUUAUAGAAAUGGCAUUUGAAGAAUAACCAAGGAUAUCAAUAAGCUUUUGGAUGUAGGCAAGCUUGGAGCUUCUGUUUCAAUGUCAUGCUUCGAUGGUUGUCUUUUGGAGCUGUUGUUUCUAUGUGUAAUCCUUUAAGUAUGUUGGCUGUACCGGACUAUUUAAACUCUGAACUACACUGUGAUGCUUGAACUGAUGUUGGACUGUUAAGGGUUAUGA